GUCAAGCGAUGAAGCGCAUACGGUGGAUGCCUAGGCAGUCAGAGGCGAUGAAAGACGUGGAAGCCUGCGAUAAGGUUCGGCGAGGUGGCAAACGACCUGCGACCCGGACAUCUCUGAAUGGGGAAACCCACCCAAGGUAACUUGGGUAUCUCAUGUUGAAUAUAUAGACAUGAGAGGCGAACCGGGGGAACUGAAACAUCUAAGUACCCCGAGGAAAAGAAAUCAACCGAGAUUCCCCUAGUAGCGGCGAGCGAACGGGGACCAGCCCUUAAGCAACACAACUGGUAGGUGAACAGAUUGGGAAAUCUGGCCAUAGUGGGUGAUAGCCCCGUAACCGAAACCUGAGUGUUGUGAAAUCGAGUAGGUCGAGGCACGUGAAACCUUGACUGAAGACGGGGGGACCAUCCUCCAAGGCUAAAUACUCCUGACUGACCGAUAGUGAACCAGUACCGUGAGGGAAAGGCGAAAAGAACCCCGGAGAGGGGAGUGAAAUAGAUCCUGAAACCGUAUGCGUACAAGCAGUGGGAGCCAACUUGUUUGGUGACCGCGUACCUUUUGUAUAAUGGGUCAGCGACUUAUUUUCAGUGGCGAGCUUAACCGUAUAGGGGAGGCGUAGAGAAAUCGAGUCUUAACUGGGCGACCAGUCGCUGGAAAUAGACCCGAAACCGGGCGAUCUAUCCAUGAGCAGGUUGAAGGUUGAGUAACAUCAACUGGAGGACCGAACCAGGAUCUGUUGAAAAAGAUUUGGAUGACUUGUGGAUCGGAGUGAAAGGCUAAUCAAGCCCGGAGAUAGCUGGUUCUCCUCGAAAGCUAUUUAGGUAGCGCCUCACGUAUCACCGCCGGGGGUAGAGCACUGUUUCGGCUAGGGGGUCAUCCCGACUUACCAACCCGAGGCAAACUCCGAAUACCGGUGAGUGCAAGCGUGGGAGACACACAGCGGGUGCUAACGUCCGUUGUGAAAAGGGAAACAACCCAGACCGUCAGCUAAGGUCCCGAAAUCCUGGUUAAGUGGGAAACGAUGUGGGAAGGCUUAGACAGCUAGGAGGUUGGCUUAGAAGCAGCCAUCCUUUAAAGAAAGCGUAAUAGCUCACUAGUCGAGUCGGCCUGCGCGGAAGAUGUAACGGGGCUCAAACCAGGUACCGAAGCUACGGGUUCGCCGAAUGGCGAGCGGUAGAGGAGCGUCGUGUAAGCCGAUGAAGGUGUGUUGAGAAGCAUGCUGGAGGUAUCACGAGUGCGAAUGCUGACAUGAGUAACGACAAGGGGAGUGAAAAACUCCCCCGCCGGAAGACCAAGGGUUUCUGUUCGACGCUAAUCGGAGCAGAGUGAGUCGGCCCCUAAGGCGAGGCCGAAAGGCGUAGUCGAUGGGAAACGGGUCAAUAUUCCCGUACCUCACAGUAUUGCGAUGGGGGGACGAAGAAGGCUAGGUGAGCCAGGCGUUGGUUGUCCUGGUGAAAGCCGGUAGGCUGAGGAUUCAGGUAAAUCCGGAUCCUUAAGGCCGAGAGGCGAGACGAACUGACUACGGUCAGGAAGUCAUCGAUGCCACGCUUCCAGGAAAAGCCUCUAAGCUUCAGAUACUGUGAGACCGUACCCCAAACCGACACAGGUGGUCAGGUAGAGAAUACCAAGGCGCUUGAGAGAACUCGGGUGAAGGAACUCGGCAAAAUUGUACCGUAACUUCGGGAGAAGGUACGCUGCUGCUGGUGAUGGGACUUGCUCCCUAAGCUGACGGCAGUCGAAGUGACCAGUUGGCUGCGACUGUUUAUUAAAAACAUAGCACUCUGCAAACACGAAAGUGGACGUAUAGGGUGUGACGCCUGCCCGGUGCCGGAAGGUUAAGUGAUGGUGUUAGCUCACGCGAAGCUCCUGAUCGAAGCCCCGGUAAACGGCGGCCGUAACGAUAACGGUCCUAAGGUAGCGAAAUUCCUUGUCGGGUAAGUUCCGACCCGCACGAAAGGUGUAACGAUCUGCGUACUGUCUCGGAGAGAGACUCGGCGAAAUAGACUUGUCUGUGAAGAUGCGGACUACCUGCACCUGGACAAAAAGACCCUAUGAAGCUUUACUGUAGCUUGAGAUUGGCUCCGGGCUUUAUUUGCGCAGGAUAGGUGGGAGGCGUUGAAAAUUUCCUUGCGGGGGAAUUUGAGCCAUUGGUGAGAUACCACUCUAAUAAAGCUAGGAUUCUAACCCUAUACCGUUAUCCGGUUAGGGAACAGUCUCAGGUGGUCAGUUUGACUGGGGCGGUCGCCUCCUAAAAGGUAACGGAGGCGUGCAAAGGUUUCCUCAGACUGGUCGGAAAUCAGUCGAAGAGUGUAAAGGCAUAAGGAAGCUUGAUUGUGAGACCUACAAGUCGAACAAAGACGAAAGUCGGCCUUAGUGAUCCGGCGGUACCAAGUGGAAGGGCCGUCGCUCAACGGAUAAAAGUUACUCUAGGGAUAACAGGCUGAUCUCCCCCAAGAGUUCAUAUCGACGGGGAGGUUUGGCACCUCGAUGUCGGCUCGUCGCAUCCUGGGGCGGUAGUACGUCCCAAGGGUUGGGCUGUUCGCCCAUGAAAGCGGCACGCGAGCUGGGUUCAGAACGUCGUGAGACAGUUCGGUCUCUAUCUACUGUGGGCGUUAGAAAUUUGAGUGGAUCUGACUCUAGUACGAGAGGACCGAGUUGGACGAACCUCUGGUGUACCAGUUGUUCCGCCAGGAGCAUUGCUGGGUAGCUACGUUCGGAAGGGAUAAGCGCUGAAAGCAUAUAAGCGCGAAACCCACCACAAGAUGAGAUUUCUUU
rnacentral:rRNA from 1 species